CAGCGCCACGAGUGGCAAUCGUAUUUAUUUGGCCUAAAGCGUCCGUAGCUGGUUUAGUAAAUCUCUUGUGAAAUUGUUGAGCUUAACUCAACAGCGUGCAGGAGAGACUGCUAAGCUAGGGACCGGGAGGAGUCAGAAGUAUGCCUGGGGGAGCGGUAAAAUGCUAUAAUCCUAGGUAGACUACCUGUGGCGAAGGCGUCUGACUAGAACGGGUCCGACAGUGAGGGACGAAAGCCAGGGGAGCAAACCGGAUUAGAUACCCGAGUAGUCC
rnacentral:rRNA from 1 species